rnacentral:rRNA from 1 species
ACGAACGCUGGCGGCGUGCCUAAUACAUGCAAGUAGAACGCUGAAGGAGGAGCUUGCUCUUCUGGAUGAGUUGCGAACGGGUGAGUAACGCGUAGGUAACCUGCCUGGUAGCGGGGGAUAACUAUUGGAAACGAUAGCUAAUACCGCAUAAGAGUAGAUGUUGCAUGACAUUUACUUAAAAGGUGCAAUUGCAUCACUACCAGAUGGACCUGCGUUGUAUUAGCUAGUUGGUGGGGUAACGGCUUACCAAGGCGACGAUACAUAGCCGACCUGAGAGGGUGAUCGGCCACACUGGGACUGAGACACGGCCCAGACUCCUACGGGAGGCAGCAGUAGGGAAUCUUCGGCAAUGGACGGAAGUCUGACCGAGCAACGCCGCGUGAGUGAAGAAAGUUUUCGGAUCGUAAAGCUCUGUUGUAAGAGAAGAACGAGUGUGAGAGUGGAAAGUUCACACUGUGACGGUAUCUUACCAGAAAGGGACGGCUAACUACGUG